UACCAGCACCCCGAGUGGUCGGGACGAUUAUUGGGCCUAAAGCAUCCGUAGCCGGUUCUGCAAGUCCCCCGUUAAAUCCAGCUGCUCAACAGAUGGGCCGCGGAGGAUACUCCAGAGCUAGGAGGCAGGAGAGGCAAGCGGUACUCAGUGGGUAGGGGUAAAAUCCGUUGAUCCAUUGAAGACCACCAGUGGCGAAGGCGGCUUGCCAGAGUGCGCUCGACGGUGAGGGAUGAAAGCUGGGGGAGCAAACCGG
rnacentral:rRNA from 1 species